UCUUCCCUCUGGCGGCGUGCCUAAUACAUGCAAGUCGAGCGAACAGACGAGGAGCUUGCUCCUCUGACGUUAGCGGCGGACGGGUGAGUAACACGUGGAUAACCUACCUAUAAGACUGGGAUAACUUCGGGAAACCGGAGCUAAUACCGGAUAACAUGUUGAACCGCAUGGUUCAACAGUGAAAGACGGUCUUGCUGUCACUUAUAGAUGGAUCCGCGCCGCAUUAGCUAGUUGGUAAGGUAACGGCUUACCAAGGCAACGAUGCGUAGCCGACCUGAGAGGGUGAUCGGCCACACUGGAACUGAGACACGGUCCAGACUCCUACGGGAGGCAGCAGUAGGGAAUCUUCCGCAAUGGGCGAAAGCCUGACGGAGCAACGCCGCGUGAGUGAAGAAGGUCUUCGGAUCGUAAAACUCUGUUAUUAGGGAAGAACAAAUGUGUAAGUAACUAUGCACGUCUUGACGGUACCUAAUCAGAAAGCCACGGCUAACUACGUG
rnacentral:rRNA from 1 species